CAGAGGGUGCAAGCGUUAAUCGGAAUGACUGGGCGUAAAGGGCGCGUAGGCGGUUAGAUAAGUUAGAUGUGAAAUCCCUGGGCUCAACCUAGGAACUGCAUUUGAUACUAUUUGACUAGAGUAGGGUAGAGGGAAGUGGAAUUUCCGGUGUAGCGGUGAAAUGCGUAGAUAUCGGAAGGAACACCAGUGGCGAAGGCGGCUUCCUGGACCUAUACUGACGCUGAGGCGCGAAAGCGUGGGGAGCAAACAGGAUUAGAUACCCUGGUAGUCCACGCUGUAAACGAUGAGAACUAGAUGUUGGGUACAUUAAAGUACUUAGUAUCGCAGCUAACGCGAUAAGUUCUCCGCCUGGGGAGUACGACCGCAAGGUUA
rnacentral:rRNA from 1 species